CACUAUGCUUAGCCGUAAAAUAUUAACCCACACUUAGCCCGCCAGGGAAUUACGAGCCCAAGCUUAAAACCCAAAGGACUUGACGGUGUCCCAUCCCUCUAGAGGAGCCUGUUCUAUAAUCGAUUCUCCCCGAUCUACCUUGCCGUCCCUUGAAUACCCAGUCUGUAUACCUCCGUCGCAAGCUUACCAUGUGAACGCACAGUGAGCCCAAAGAUCCAUCACCCAUACGUCAGGUCAAGGUGCAGCCCACGGAACGGAAAGAAAUGGGCUACAAUCUCUACCGUAGAACAAACGGAAAACUGCAUGAAAUACAGUUAUUGAAGGCGGAUUUAGUAGUAAGAAGAAAAUAGAGAGUUCUUUUUAACAAGGCGCUGGGACGCGUACACACCGCCCGUCACCCUCUUCAAAUAAAGACUUAAAAGUCACUAACACCCAACAAUUACAUAGAAGAGGCAAGUCGUAACAUGGUAAGUGUACUGGAAAGUGCACUUGGAAUAACAAAAUGUAACUUAAUAAAAGUAUCCUGCUUACACCAAGACUAUAUCUGUGAAACCCCGAUCAUUUUGAGCCUAAAUUCCAGCCCUAAAGCCCCCGCAUGAAAUUUCUUCCCCCCCCUCCCCUCCCACCAAAACAUUCUUUCAACCAAGUAAAGGUGAUUAAAAAGUUAUUAGGAGCUCCAACACCAGUACCGCAAGGGAAAAAUGAAAUAAAAAUGAAACAAAUUUAAAGCACUACAAAGUAGAGACUUUCCCUUGUACCUUUU
rnacentral:rRNA from 1 species